rnacentral:rRNA from 1 species
CGUGUAGGCGGCCAGGUAGGUCUGCUGUGAAAACUCGAGGCUUAACCUCGAGAUGUCGGCGGAAACCAUCUGGCUAGAGUCCGGAAGAGGAGAGUGGAAUUCCUGGUGUAGCGGUGAAAUGCGCAGAUAUCAGGAAGAGCACCCGUGGCGAAGGCGGCUCUCUGGGACGGUACUGACGCUGAGAGCGAAAGCGUGGGGAGCGAACA